ACAGCAUCCUUUCAGUGCAAGCGCUCUUACCAACACUGGGAGUCAGCUGCCAGCCUUUGUCAUCUUUCCGCCUGAGUUGUGUCCACCCCCAUUGUUUCUUGGUGGCAAUUUUUCCAGCUUUCUCUUUCUACACUGAUGAACAAAAUCUUAUCUUCUUCUGCGGUGGUUCUUUUUGUUGAUGCUCUUCAGAUUGUUCUUGACAAAGGGGUUGUUGCUCUGCUUUCUUUCAGUUCAAGGAUUACGCCAGCUGGCACAUGACUCAAACAUUUAGAUUAUCUUCAGCUUCACUCUGAUUCAGCUUGAGCUCAAAAAUGAAAAGUGCAAGAUUAACAAGUUAUUUCAACCAAAUCAAAAAAAAUCUUCACUGCAAAAUGGUGGUGCCUAAGCUAUCAAAGCUCCUAGCCCUGGCUCAUAACUGUUACAUAUCUGUAACACUUCAUCUGUCACUGCUCUCUACACCCUUCAUCUGUCACUGCUCUCUACACCCUUCAUCUGUCACUGCUCUUUACACACUUCAUCUGUCACUGCUCUUUACACACGUCAUCUGUCACUGCUCUUUAGACCCUUCAUCUGUCACUGCUCUCUACACCCUUCAUCUGUCACUGCUCUCUACACCCUUCAUCUGUCACUGCUCUUUACACACUUCAUCUGUCACUGCUCUUUACACACGUCAUCUGUCACUGCUCUUUAGACCCUUCAUCUGUCACUGCUCUUUAGACCCUUCAUCUGUCACUGCUCUCUACACCCUUCAUCUGUCACUGUUCUCUACACCCUUCAUCUGCUCCCUUGUCUGCUGGAUCUUACCUAUUCAAAAUCAGAUGAUGGCAAAACCACCUCCCCGUUAAACUGGGUUGUUGGUGAGUACAAUUAACCUACUGGUACCACUUUGUGGUUUUCACACAUUAUAAAUACUUAAAAAAAAACAUGUGCUAAAAAAACAACCCAAUUACACCAGAAACCAGUAGACCUUUUCCAGCAAAGUAACUGCAAUGUCUGCUGAUACACGCUAUUGUGGAGCACAAAAAAGACAGGCAUAUGUAACAAAUUAUGAUCCUCUGACUAAAAGAGGACAUUAAACCAAAUCCGCUCAUCAAGAAGAACCGGCAAACGCUAAUGGCAAAGCUAUGUUCUGCAUGACAAGAGGGUCAACAACACAGCAACAACUGUUUUCUACAUUUGAGCACACAAAAUUGGAUCAGAACUUAAAUAUGACUGAAUUCAGUUCGAUCCCAUUCCUUUCCAAUACAAUGGUGUGAUAAUAUAACAAGAACAUUUCAUAAUGUGGAAAGGAAGGCAACAGAUUUGUAUCUUCAUCAAGCUCACCAGGGAAAUUACUAGGAACAGGGUGAUGCAUUCCAAGGCUACAGGACGAGACAUUUCAAAUUUUAAGACAUAAAUUGUUGUCUCAAUUUCAAUUAGAAUAGUAAUAAAUAUCGGCUUUGCUUGUACUACAUUAUUGUACCUUGGAGGAUAAUUUCCUAAUCAACUGCACUGUGCUUCCUAACACAGUAUGUCAGAGUUAACCAAAUCCAUAAAAUGACCAAAAUAUUCUACUGGGCAAAAUCCUAUGACGUCAUGGAUCAUUUAUCACUAAUAAACUGGGGAUUUGAAAUAAUCACACCUACCACACUUUGUGGUUACAAAUGAAAUCUGAAUGGCAUUUAAUAAUCAGCUAGUUGGGUCUAUGGACAUUUCAUAAAAUUUCAUAUGGUCUAUAGUUAUCAUAGUUAUCAUGACAUAUUAAAUCAAGGUGAUGCACAAACAAAAGAGUGUGGUAGGUGUGAUUUAUAAAUGUUGUCUUUCAUUGAUACCUAUUUGGGUUUAAAGCAUAAAUGUGCCUGCCUGGCCUGUUUGGCAUGUUCAGUACUUUUCAUCAGUUUUUCCUAUCCUCCAUCCUCCAUCCAGCCCUUUCAAAAACACCAGUCUUGCUUAUGAAGGUUUCUCCCUUAUACAGUGGGUCAUACAUAUGUGCCAUAAGUGUGCUUGGGACUGCUUUGUAAACUAGCUGGAACAUAGGAGACAUGAUUGAGGCCUCGUUAUCAGCUAUGAAUUUAGUCUGAGCCAAUGAAUAUUUGCCACUGGAGAAUGAUGUACUUUCUUGAGGCUCAUUAUCAUAAAAGUCAGAUUCGGGAGACUCAGGCCGAUUCUGGAACAUUUCUUCAAGAUCAAAGCUGGAAUCAUCAAUGUCUGAUGUUACAAACUCAGGUGAGGAUGACCUAUCUUCAAAACAUGGUACUCUAUGAUCAGAUAAUGAUGUUCUGAACUGAGGAACUGGCGAGUCAGGUGGCAAACAUGUCAAUUCAUUAAUUGAAGAAACGGAUUCAGGAGAAAGAGGCCUUGUGUCAUCUUUUGGGUAAUCCAGAUACAGAAGUGCUCUAUCGCUCUCAGAAAUGUCUGAUUCAGGAGACAAAUGCCUGUGUAUAGCUGCAUCACUACGGUGGCUAUCACUAUGUUCAUAUUGCACUGAGUCUGGUUCAGGUGACUCUGGUCUUCCAUAAUCUAAGAGAGUCUCUAGGCAUAACUCAGACAGCUCAGUGUCUGAGAUCAAUGAUUCAGUUGAAGGACAUGUACUGUCUGGAAGAAGCAUAAUACAUUCAAGCUGUGGGGGACAGAACUGAGAAUACUCAACGUCUAGGAUUGGUGAUGUGGGAGAGGAUGAUCUACUUCCUGUGUAGAUUGACGUCUCAAAUUCCGCAUGACCAUAUUCAGGAAUAGGUGAAUCAGGAGACAGAAGUUUACCUUCAUCACAUAAACACAAUGGUUCCGGUGAAUCUAUUCUCCCUUCUUGGAACAAUUCCUCAAGAUAAAGGUAAGAGUAUUCAAUAUCUGAUGCUAAAGAUACGGGAGAGGAUGAUCGUUUACCUUUGAAGUUUAACUGUUCAAAUGUAUGGCAGCCAUAUUCAGGAAUAGGGGAAUCAGGAGACAGGGGUGUAUAUUCAUCUAAUGAUGUAAAGGCUUCUGGUGAGGACGUUCUUUCUUCCUCUAACCAUUCAAGGAAAGAUAAUGAAUAGUCAUUUUCAGAUGUGAGGGAGUCUGGUGAUAUUGGUCUAUGCUCACUCAGGCCUCUCACAGUCCCGUUGGUGUUUAUUUCUGAUUCCAGUGACUCUGGUCUGUCUUCACUGAACAACUCUUCAAAACACAUUUCAGAGUAUUCAUUAUCAGAUACUAGAGAUAUGGGAGAUGUUCUACUACUUCCAUAGACAAACUGCUCAAGUAUUGGGCAAACAAACGCAGGAAUAGGUGAAUCAGGAGACAGAGGUCUACAUGUAUCUGGUGAAUAUGAUGAAUCUGGAGACCACAAUCUGUCUUCAUUGAACAACUCAUUCAGACACAACUCAGAAUAUUCAAUGUCUAGGAUUGAUGAUGUGGGAGAGGAUGAUCUACUUCGUGUGUAGAUUGACGUCUCAAAUUUAGCAUGACCAAAGUCAGGAAUAGGUGAAUCAGGAGACAGAAGUCUACCUUCAUCACAUAAACACAAUGGUUCAGGUGAAUCUAUUCUCCCUUCUUGGAACAAUUCCUCAAGAUAAAGGUCAGAGUAUUCAAUAUCUGAUGCUAAAGAUACGGGAGAUGAUGAUCUGCUAGUUGAACAUAUCAGCUGGUCACAUGUAGAAUGAAUAUAUUCAGGAAUAGGGGAUUCAGGAGACAUGGGCCUUCUCUCUGUGAAAAAAUCUAAAUACAGCUCUUCCUCUGUGUUUUCUGAUGUUAGAGAUGCCGGUGAUGUGCUCCUGAGAUGUGCGGAGUGAGUUAUACUAACCGCCAAAGGACAUUUGUACUGAGGGACAGGUGAGUCGGGUGAGAGGGCCCUGAACUCAUUCAAUUCAGCCAAAGAUUCAGGUGAAGGUGGCCUAAACAAUUGACACCACUCCAGAAAUUCCUCAGCAUAAUCUUCAGAUGCACUUAAGGAGUCUGGAGAAAGAGAUCGAUUUUCAGAUUCAUAGUCUGGAGGCUGUGACUGAGGUGAAUCUGGUCUGGUCUCGCUGAAUAGUUCCUCAAUACCAAGUUCAGAGUAUUCAAUCUCUGAUGAUACAGAUUCAGGAGGGGAAGAUGGGUAUUCAUUAAAUGAUAACAUAUAAGUGUCCAGAAAGUUUUCGUACUGUGGAACUGGAGAAUCCACAGAGAGCGGUCUGCUCUCAUCAACUGAUGUAAAGGAUUCUGGGGAUGAUGGUCGGAUAUCUACAAAUAAAUCUUCUACAGAUAAGAGGGCUCCAUCACUAUCUGAAAUUACCGAUUGACAUGAUGGUGAUCUGUAGACAGAAGAUGAUUUAGAAAGUAAGGACUCAGAAUCAGAUGUAAAAGCAUAUUGCUUUCCUAGUUGUCCAGACUCCGAGGACUGCAAUGGCAAAGUGGAGAUAAGUUCAUCAUGACGACAAAUCAUUAUUUCGGACUUUAAGCUUGACAACUGUACUGACAGCACUUCUGGUAUCAUUUUACUUGUAAAGUCACUAGAAGUUUCAGCAACAACAAUAGUAGCCUGAACUUCCUCACUCAUUUGGAUUUGAUCACUACACUCAUCUGUCUCAUCUCUUUCUGUUGUUCUUUCUGUGUCAAGUAUUCGUUCAAAAAUUCCCGCCUUAGUACAGAGAUGUUCUCCUUUAAAAGGUGGGUCAUACAUAUGGGACAUCAGCUUGCAUGGUACGGUUUCGUAUACCAAUCUAAACUUUUUGGGAAAUGAAAUGUCAGCAGAGACUGCCCCAACACUUUCCAAGGCCAUGAUUUUUACUGGUGGCCCCAUUUGACUCUCAAGAGAUUUUGAUCCCGGCCCCCUCUUUAAGGAAGUAUCAUAUGGCUCUCUUGAGUUUGGAAAGUUUUUACGAAUCACAAAGCCUGCAGCAUCUGGAGAUAUAGGAUGACGGCUACUUUCAUCUAUGAUUGAAUCAGGAGAUUGUGGCCUACCCUCAUCAUAAUCCCAAGAAAAGCAGGACUCAUUAUCGGAUAAUGUUGGUACGGGUGAUGGGCCCAGAUCACUUUUAACUGCUCCUGUCAACAUGUUCUGAGGCAAAUAGUUAGCAUAUUGAGGAAUAGGAGAGUCGGGAGAGAGAGGUCUAAACUCCAAUGACGUAUGAGAACCUGGUGAGGAUGGUCUCAGCUCUUUCAACCAAUGCUCCAGGAAAGACAGCUUGUAGUCAGACUCUGAGGAUAGAGAAUCAGGUGACAGCGGUCGUAGUGCCAUCACACAUUCACCAACCACAUUUUUGAAUGCCUCAUCUGAUCCUGAUAGAGGGGACUCUGGUCUCACCUCAUAUGGCACUUGUUCAUAGUUCCAGUUGGUAUCAAAGUACUCUAUGUCUGAUGUUGCUGAGUGAGGAGAUGCAGAUCUGUUCCACUGAAUGGCAGGCACUGUAGACAUAUUAAACUGAGGUACAGGGGAGUCAGGAGUAAGGGCUCUAGUGAAGGAAUUAGACUCAGAUGAAGGCCUGUCCUCAAGGAAGAAGUCUUCCAGAUAAUACUCUUCGCUCUCACUGUCUGAUAUUGCAGAAAUGGGAGAUAAGCUUUGGAUACCAGUGGAGUGCAUUGAGAUAGUCAAUGGAAUUUCAUACUGUGGAACUGGAGAGUCAGGGGAGAGCAGCCUGUAUUCAUCGAGUGAUGAAAUAGAUUCAGGAGAGAAGGCUCUCACUUCUUCAAGCCACUUUGAGAAAAAUAAGCAGUAGUCUGUUUCAGAUAUCAGUGACUCCGGUGUCAAUGGUCUAUAUUUAGUCAAAUAUUUACUGGUGGUUUCAUCAUCUAAAAUGACUGAUUCUGGUGAAUCGGGUCUGUCCUCGUCAAACAACUCUGCCAGACAGAGGUCAGAGUACUCAACAUCUGACGCUAGAGAUACGGGAGAUGAUGACUGUUUACCUGUGAAGUUUAACUGUUCAAAUGUCUGGCAGCCAUAUUCAGGAAUAGGGGAAUCAGGAGACAGGGGUGUAUAUUCAUCUAAUGAUGUAAAGGCUUCUGGUGAGGACGUUCUUUCUUCCUCUAACCAUUCAAGGAAAGAUAAGGAAUAGUCAUUUUCAGAUGUGAGGGAGUCUGGUGAUAUUGGUCUAUGCUCACUCAGGCCUCUCACAGUCCCGUUGGUGUUUAUUUCUGAUUCCGGUGACUCUGGUCUGUCUUCACUGAACAACUCUUCAAAACACAUUUCAGAGUAUUCAUUAUCAGAUACUAGAGAUAUGGGAGAUGAUGUUCUAUUACUUCCAUAGACAAACUGCUCAAAUAUUGGGCAAACAAACGCAGGAAUAGGUGAAUCAGGAGACAGAGGUCUACAUUUAUCUGGUGAAUAUGAUGAAUCUGGAGACCACGAUCUGUCUUCAUUGAACAACUCAUUCAGACAAAACUCAGAAUACUCAAUGUCUAGGAUUGGUGAUGUGGGAGAGGAUGAUCUACUUCCUGUGUAGAUUGACAUCUCAAAUGUAUCAUGACCAUAGUCAGGAAUAGGUGAAUCAGGAGACAGAAGUCUACCUUCAUCACAUAAACACAAUGGUUCCGGUGAACAUGAUCUGAGUUCCUCAAUCCAUCUCUCUAGUUCAUACACUGAAUAGUCAUCACAAGAAGACAACGAUUCUGGUGAUAGAGGUCUGUUUGCAAGCUCUUUGGAGAAUUCUUUUUGCCUACUGUCAAUGGGAGAAUAUAUGUCUUGAGUAUCUGAAUCAGGAGAGAGAAAUCGGUCCUUGUCUCCACACAAGUCAUGUGAAAGAGUGCUGUGGAUUUUGGAAUAAAUCUGCCCUGAUUCAUUAUUUUCACAUUGUGAUGCUGCUGACUGGGGUGGUAGGACCAUUUCUUCACUGAAAUAUUUUUCUAUUUCUCUACCUGCUUCGUUACAUAAUGCACUUUUCGAGUUUGAGCAUUGUGUUGAGUGUACUGUGGUAACUGGGGUAGCUUGUACUGACCAGUCUGAUUCAUUACCUAUAUCCAGCUGUAUGAUUUUAGUUUCAUAAUGCUUUGUGUCCUCCGAUGUCAAUGGUCUAUAUUCAGUCACAUCUUUACUGGUGGUUUCAUCAUCUAAAAUGACUGAUUCUGGUGAAUCUGGUCUGUCCUUGACAAACAACUCUGACAGACAGAGGUCAGAGUACUCAACAUCUGACGCUAGAGAUACGGGAGAUGAUGAUCGUUUACCUGUGAAGUUUAACUGUUCAAAUGUAUAGCAGCCAUAUUCAGGAAUAGGUGAAUCAGGAGACAGAAGUCUACCUUCAUCACAUAAACACAAUGGUUCCGGUGAAUCUAUUCUCCCUUCUUGAAACAAUUCCUCAAGAUAAAGGUCAGAGUAUUCAAUAUCUGACUCUAAAGAUACGGGAGAUGAUGAUCGUUUACCUGUGAAGUUUAACUGUUCAAAUGUAUGGCAGCCAUAUUCAGGAAUAGGGGAAUCAGGAGACAGGGCUGUAUAUUCAUCUAUUGAUGUAAAGGCUUCUGGUGAGGAUGUUCUUUCUUCCUCUAGCCACUCAAGGAAAGUUAAGGAAUAGUCAUUUUCAGAUGUGAGGGAGUCUGGUGAUAUUGGUCUAUGCUCACUCAGGCCUCUCACAGUCUCGUUGGUGUUUAUUUCUGAUUCCGGUGACUCUGGUCUGUCUUCACUGAACAACUCUUCAAAACACAUUUCAGAGUAUUCAUUAUCAGAUACUAGAGAUAUGGGAGAUGAUGUUCUAUUACUUCCAUAGACAAACUGCUCAAAUAUUGGGCAAACAAACGCAGGAAUAGGUGAAUCAGGAGACAGAGGUCUACAUUUAUCUGGUGAAUAUGAUGAAUCUGGAGACCACGAUCUGUCUUCAUUGAACAACUCAUUCAGACAAAACUCAGAAUACUCAAUGUCUAGGAUUGGUGAUGUGGGAGAGGAUGAUCUACUUCCUGUGUAGAUUGACAUCUCAAAUGUAUCAUGACCAUAGUCAGGAAUAGGUGAAUCAGGAGACAGAAGUCUACCUGAUUCACAUAAACAUAAUGGUUCCGGUGAAUCUAUUCUCCCUUCUUGGAAUAAUUCCUCAAGAUAAAGGUCAGAGUAUUCAAUAUCUGACGCUAAAAAUAUGGGAGAUGAUGAUCGUUUACCUGUGAAGUUUAUCUGUUCAAAUGUAUGGCAGCCAUAUUCAGGAAUAGGGGAAUCAGGAGACAGGGGUGUAUAUUCAUCUAAUGAUGUAAAGGCUUCUGGUGAGGAUGUUCUUUCUUCCUCUAGCCAUUUAAGGAAAGAUAAGGAAUAGUCAUUUUCAGAUGUGAGGGAGUCUGGUGAUAUUGGUCUAUGCUCACUCAGGCCUCUGGCAGUCCUGUUGAUGCUUAUUUCUGAUUCUGGUGACUCUGGUCUGUUUUCACUGAACAACUCUUCAAAACACAUUUCAGAGUAUUCAUUAUCUGAUACUAGAGAUAUGGGAGAUGAUGUUCUAUUACUUCCAUAGACAAACUGCUCAAAUAUUGGGCAAACAAACGCAGGAAUAGGUGAAUCAGGAGACAGAGGUCUACAUGUAUCUGGUGAAUAUGAUGAAUCUGGAGACCACGAUCUGUCUUCAUUGAACAACUCAUUCAGACAAAACUCAGAAUACUCAAUGUCUAGGAUUGGUGAUGUGGGAGAGGAUGAUCUACUUCCUGUGUAGAUUGACAUCUCAAAUGUAUCAUGACCAUAGUCAGGAAUAGGUGAAUCAGGAGACAGAAGUCUACCUGAUUCACAUAAACAUAAUGGUUCCGGUGAUUCUAUCCUCCCUUCUUGGAAUAAUUCCUCAAGAUAAAGGUCAGAGUAUUCAAUAUCUGAUGCUAAAGAUACGGGAGAUGAUGAUCUGUUGCUUCCAUAGACUAACUGCUCAUAUUGAUUACAGCCGUACAGAGGAACAGGUGAAUCAGGAGACAGAGGUCUACAGGUAUCAUAUGAAUAUGAAGAUUCUGGUGAAUUUGGUCUGUCCUCAUUGAACAGCUCAUCAAGACAAAAUUCAGCGUAUUCAAUGUCUGAUGCUAGAGACGAAGGAGAUAAAGAUCCAUCACUCAUGUAGAUGAACUGUUUAGAAGUAGGAUGGCCAUACUCAGGAACAGGGGAAUCAGGUGACAGUGGUCUAUGUCCAUCAAGUGACAUUGUUCCUGGUGAAGGCAGCCUUGUCUCAUUGGGCCACUCUUCAGAAUAGACAUCAUACUCAAUGUCACUUUCAGAGGCUAAAGAAUUAACAGAGGAAGAUGCUGCUCCAACCACAGAAAUGAAUACUUCAGGUUGGGGACAUUUGAACUGAGGAAUUGGUGAGUCAGGACAUAAUACUUCAUCCUCUGAUGACAAAGAGUCUGCAUAUUCUGGUGAGUUCAAUGUGUACUCAGAGUACAACUCUCCCAUGUCUGAAUCUGAGGAUCCAUUUUCAGAAUAUACAUAUCCAGGAGAGCAUGGUCUAAAGCCAUUAAUUGAAUUGAUACACUCAGGGACUCUGUAGUCAGGCACUGGGGAGUCAGGAGACAUGGACCUAAACUCAUUCUGAGAUGCAAUAGAUUCUGGAGAAGAUGGUCUACUGGCUUCUGGUGUAAAACUUAAGUCUUUGUUUCCUCUAACUUCUGAGGCCAGUGCUAAUGGUAAGUUUCCACUUCUGGCCACCAUGACUUCAGGCACAUUUCUAUACUUUGCAAUGCAAGGCAUCAGCUGUGGCUCAAUGCUAGGCUCUGGCUUCAUCUCACCUAACCGGGGUACAUAGUCUUUCAUACAUGUAUUGAGUAAACAAGGCCUUCUUUCAUUGAAAUGCCCUUCUAACCCUGGACCCAGGGGGCUGCCACCUAAAGAAACACCCAAGGACAAUUCCUGUCCUGAGAGGGGUGUUUCAGGAGGCACUCUUAAGUCUAGUUUGGAUAUCACAGCCUCUGCAAGCAUUCUCUCUUCCAAUGGGACAAGACCAUGCUCUACAGGUUGUGAGAAUGGCUGGGGACCUGAGAACUUUACUUUUUCAGAGGGAGAUGCAGGGAGUGCAGAUGCCUUAUUACAUGACCUGGAAGUCCUUGGCAUAAAUACAUUUGAUAUGUAUGAUUUUCCUUGGCUGAUAAAAGAUGUCUUUGCUCGCACCACUGGAUUAUCCUUAUCAGUUUGCCCACUUGAUGAACUGGCAGAGUCAUUUACCAGCUGAUCAUAUUUGGUGUCAUGAUGGGGGUGUAAUGUGUCUGUUUGGGUGUCCCAUGGUUUUGAGGCUCCCUGUAAUGAUUCAGGACCUUGGAAAGGGAGUCUUUCUUGUGUUAAAAUGCUCUUCUUAGACUUGAUUGGGGCUGAGUUAUUGAGAAAAGCCUGAUGCAGACUUGUGGUUUCAUAAAGUUCAUCAAUAAAGGGUAUGAGGGGUUCUUCCCUGGGACAAGUUUGGGCCUUCAAAGCCUUGCUUGCCCCACCAAGUUUGGAGUUUGUACAGUGUUUAUCUGGGUCGUCAUCCUCUACAAUGGCCAAAGAAACUGUGUGAUUCUCAGUUGAUCUUGUGUGACCAUGCUCACAAACUACACUGCUUAAGUUCAUGUCAACGAGGUCCUCUCUGAGUUCAGUUAAUAGCUCACUGAAAUCUGUCUCAGCUUGGUCUGACUCUGAGAGACAAUGGCCAAAGUCUUGAAUAGAUAUAGGUGCCAGUGGAUUAACAGGUCUGGGAAAUGAUGACCUUGGAUCGCCUUGGAUAAGUUCCUCAUCGCCCAUUGUAUUUUGGGGAUGUUUUCUCAACCCAGACUGAAAUCCAUGUUCAGUGGAGUCCCAUGGUACAGGUGCAGCAGCACCAACUGUGGACUCAGUCAUAGGAUUUGUGUUUUGCGGUGGGGAGACCCUUCUGUAUUGUGGAUCAUACACUUGCGACAUCAGCUUCGAAGGCUCAGCAGUAUUGUCAAAAUGUAGAUGACUUACUUGUCUGUCAAGGCCCUCAUUUGAUGACCCAGCCCUCAUCUCUCGAGCAGCCCAUGGGUUGGUGAUAAAGUCCCUAAGGAAAAUGGAAAAUGAGGUGUAUGUUAGUGCUGAUUUACUUCAAUAAAAUGGCCACAAAGAUCAAAUCAAAUAAUUUCUUUACUAUUUUUCGGUAUUUCGACCUACUGUGUAAUGUCAAGUUCUUCUAGGAGGUCUCCAUGCAUGCUUUCAGAAUGGGUGUGCCCCGCAGGCUCUGACCAGGACGGGAUGUCCAGGAGAGAGGCCACGGACAGGUCUUCCUCAGAAACCGCUGGAGGUUGCCGUUGUGAGGAUUCCACCCUUCUUACCAGUCGCGGACUUUCUACAUCUUCCUGAACUGAGGAGAGAGCUGGACACAGAAACAUACAGAAAAGUGUGUAUGGAUGCAUACACACACACACACACACACACACACACACUCAGUGGAAACUGAAUAGCUAGAAGAUUAAACUUCCUCAUGCAGUACAACAAGAUAUGUGCAUUUGAUGUUGUCAUUAAGCCACUGCUUAGUAACCACUGCGGGGUAGUAUUUGAAGCCAAAGAUGUGGCCUCAAAACAUAGCACAUAAAUGCAAUACCGUGUUGAAUGUUUUUAUUAUGUGUUUAUAGCAUUAGCUGACCAAUACAUUCUACCUUCACUGUGAUCAAGAGUCCUCUCAAUUUCUGCAUACGUCCGUGAGGUCUGCUCCUGGACUGACUUGUUCAUCUGUGUCUCAAGGAGGUGGACUAUGUCCAUGCGAUUUAUUGCAGUGAGCCUCUUGAUCAAGCAAUCCUCUGCGAGGAUAAAUGACAUAAAAUGAGUUAUGCCUAUCCACACAUUAAUACAUUUUUUAAUUCAAAACAGAUUAAGAAUAGGGUUUGGGUAGUAUGUACAAAUGUAGAAAAGGGUGAUGAGCUCAUAUUCACCAGUGGCAUGCUUCGCCUCACGCUCCACCCAGCGCUGCAGCAGUGCCUGACUUUGCUCCUGCAAGGAGUUUGGGUUCUCUGACCGCACCAGCUGUAUUUCAUCCUCAUUGAACUCCAGUUCUUUUGCCAGCUCUGGAGAAUUUUACAUUUAUUGAAUCUUAUGUUUUAGAAUCCCUCUUUGCGAGCAAGCUCUGAUCCAGUAAGAUUCAUUUAAAAACAGAGUAUAUAUAAUAUCAGGGAGAUUGGUGGUCAUCACAUCCACAUUCAUUAGCAUAUGAGACUUACCAGUCCAACUAAACCCAAGGAGGUCAGAAACUAUUGCCAAUGUUUCUUCCUUUCUGUCUGCAUCUUCCUGCCAGUCCACUGGAAGUUCACACAAAUCAUUAAGAGUAAGAUACCAGUACAAGAGUAAAAGACCAGAGGCCACAUAUGCUGCUAGAACUCAAUUUAUUAUAUUAAUUGAAAGUGGAAAUAUCUGCCUAAAAACCUGUAAGUGCUGCUUCUUUGUCAUGGUCAGUUCUAUCUUUAUUAAGAAUGGCAUAAACUAGCUGAUCUGUGAUGACUGAAAAAACUUGACCAAGGAAUCUAGAGUAGCACACUCAUGUUUAGUACCUCGAGAUUAUUAAGUGCUUUUCACAAUGUUAACAUAUACAUAUGCAUAUGCCUUAAGACCCACUGAUCAGAGCAGACGCAGUAGGUAGGGUCAAUCAGAAACCCAGUAUUGUUUAUAUGGAGUAUGUGAUAAUAUGAUGGUACAUUCCCCAUAUGGAGGUUGCCUCUGAAAUGGAUCUGGCCCUGAUUGGUUCCAUACUUAGCUGUCUGAGUAGAACUAUAAUCUACUUAUGUGAUCUGAUUGAAAAAAAUAGACCUUUCUAAUUCACUUCAGCUGCUAUCUGAGUAGAACUAUAAUCAAUCUACUUAUGGGUUCUGAUUAAAACGACUUUGUUAACAUGACUUCUAAUUCACAUCAAUUAUGUUUCAAAAUCUACUUAUGUGUUCUGAUUAAAAUGACUGCGUUAACAUGACUUUUCUAAUUCACUCCAGUUAUGUUUCGAAAUCCUGGAUUUAUGCAACAGUGAAAUAUGGUAAACUAAAAUAAAAGUUUAGAGAUGUGGAUAUACAUAAGGACCCACUAAUCUUGAGACCUUAAACAUGGAAGUGGUGCACUCAUCAUUUAUAAUUUGAUCAUUUUUAUGUCAUUUCUUUUUCCACUGUCCAUGCAUGGAACUCACACCUGUAAAAGGAGUGUAAAGUACCAUGCUGAAACUAGCAACAGCAUGUUAUAAAAACUAUGUUAGAUUUUCAUGUUUGGGUUAGAAAGACCUUCCAUGCAAAUGACUAUGGAAUUCAGUAAUGCUUAUAAAAAUGGGUUAUCACAUGUUGAAUUUGACGUAUACAGUGCCACAUGCAGAGUAGUUUUAUUCUAUUAUCAGAGCAUUUCUGACAUUAAACUAAAAAGGGAGAGAGUCAAUCUUGAGAUUGGAAAUGUACACAAAGAUGGCUGGAUGGAAAGGCAGCAGAAAAAAAGUGAGCUGAUAACUGAACACACAGAAACACAGAGGACAACACAAGACAACAACACACAGCACAAAACAACACACAACACAGUGACAAAACAGAACAACAAAGAGGUGACGAUGGACACUUAGGCAGGAAAAAGAGGUCUUUUGGUUGAGGGAAGUAGAGGAAAAAGAGAGGGGGACAGACCCAUUGAGAUGAUACCUUGACAUUGUUCUGAGGUAGCGCUGUCAGAGAUGCGCUGCAUCUGAGUCUCCACACAACUGUCCCAGUGGGGCCUUGACUCAAAGACAUCAUCUGUAAUGGAGGAAGGCCGUACCCCUGGAACAGCUCUACUCUCUGCAUCUGGAGCACAAGAGGCUCUCUCAUUCUGUUUGGGGUCUCCAGAGCCAGGCAACUCUGAGUUGCAAGAGGUCUUACUGAUGUGACGAGAUGUAAUGGUUUGUUCAUGUGAGAUACUGUGCUGGAUUUUUUCAGUGUAAGAAGAAUGUGAAUGUCUGUGUUUACUUAUGACUGGGAGUCUUGAGCUAGAGAUCUUUGGUUUGGUCAAGGACUGACUCCUCUCUGAAAGACUACGGGUGUGUGUAGUAGAUAAGAGAUGCCCUGUGUGUUCAUCACCAGCAUCAGACUUUGAACGAUGCUCCUGUAGAGGAGUCUCUGAUUUUUUUGCAGAGCUUAUGUCUGAUUUCACUGAACCUGCUUUCACUGGAAUCUUUGACUUGGAUUUAAUUUCUACUGAAAACACAGAGAUGUCAUCUUGAGGGGGAUCUGAGAUUUCAGAUGCAGUGGAUUCAGUGAGACUGGUGUGGCCCAGCACGUCGUAGGUUAGGGAGGGAAUUUCAAUAACGGAUUGCGGCUCAUCCUCAUUAGAGGAGUCAGAGGAUUCGGAAUCCUGAUCUGAGUACACAGACCGCGUGACAGUAGAGCUGGCUGUGUCCACAUCCAUUAUAGUGGACACUGAGGUGUCAGGAGGUUCAAGGAAAUCUCUCUCUUGGUGUGAAUAGUUGGGGCUACCAGGAUGAACGUCAAGUGAGUCAGACGGAGUGACAUUUGAGAAGUUGGAGGUCUGCGGUGUAGAAUCAAACUCUUCCUUUGUUUGAUCCUCUGUUACUGAGUCUCUGUUGUCCAUUUUAGAGUCUUCGCUUACAUCCAUAUCACUUUUUUCUGUGUCCUCCUCCACAGCAUCAUCAUUUAAUGGGAAAAAAGCUCGCUCUUCAAUCUCCUCUUCCAAGCUCCUCCUGGUCAUAUCAAUAGCACCACCUCUGGUCAUCUCAAAGAGCUUCCCCUCCUGGAAGAGGAAUGGAUUUGGAGUUCCCUCUUCUGUGGGCGUUCGGCCUGGUGUGGAAUCUGGUGUUUGCCGCUGGGGCAGCUCUUCCAAGGGAAGACCAAAAACCCUGCUUUCUUCAGCUUCCACUCGUGCCUUAAAACUUUCAUCAUCUUCUAAAUCAGCACUCCAUGGGACCAGAUCUCCUUUAAUAUCCUCAGGGAUGCCCGUUGACAGUGUGUCAUGAUUGGCAGCCUGUGAAACCUGAUAACUUACAUCUCCCUCCUGAAUGCAUAUUUUCGUGUUAAGAUCUUCCUGAAGAUUCUGUGUCACAGCUUGCGGACAGAGAGGGAGGUCAGCAGAGUGAUCGUCUUGUUUUACAGAUGAUAUCAAAUGAGCUCCACUGCUAUCAUCUAAGACAACAGAUACGGUAUUAUUGUCAGUGGCUGAGUAGCUGGACAUUCCUUGUUUUCCUGCCUCUUCAGUAGAGGUAAGGCACUUCAACAGAUCUGAACAAUCCUCCUCACUCUCAUCCACAAAUGUUUGCAUAGAUAUAAUAUCCUUUGUAUAGUCCUCUCUGUGUUCAAAGGCAUCUUUUUCCUGGUUUGUGGUCCCAGGUGAAUCAUCCUUUAAGACUCCUUGGAGUAGUUUAACCUCUUGAAGGCUAUGGCUUUCAGGUUUGGGAGAUGAUGACAGCAAUGGGUUUGGGUCAGCUGUGAUAUCAGAAUGGUCUUCCCAUGCCAUCCAAUCAUCUUGGGCUUGUGAUGGACUCUUGUGAUCCUCUGACUCCUCUAGAGCAAACCUGACCUCCUUCUUACUUUUAACGUCCUUCUCCAUUUCGUCAAAUGUUUUGAUUUUUGCUGCCAUUUUAAACAUUUCCUCUUCUGGAGUAAGCUGCUUCUGAUCUGUUUCUGAGUUCUGUUGGUCCAUAUCUUUGUCCGCAUUGUCUGAGGAGGAAGCAGAUAGAUUUGUGGACAUUGGAAGGCACUGUUGGUGAGAUGGAAUGCCAAACUCAAAAUCGCAAUCUUCAGAGGAAUAGGCUCUUUCAAAAUCAACUUCUCUUUGAAAGUCAACUUCAAUCCCUGAUCCAGGACUGAGUGGACUGUCGGGAGACUGAGCAGCUUGCUUUGGUUCUGAGAAAAAAUCUGCCCUCUCUCCUAUCGGGCUUCCCUCCAGGGAGUCUGGACAGGGAGAGUCUUUGGUUGGACUUGGCUCAAGCGAGUCAGGAGAUUUAUGUGAAGAGCCAUCCUCUAUGACAGGACUGACCUCCAGGGAGUCCCUACGACAUACACUGGCAUUAUCAUCCAUGACAACAGACCACAGAGCGUCUAUGUUUGAAGGUCUGGAUGGGGUAUCUAUUCCCUCUGUUCCAGAGCUUACAGUUAUCUGUCUGUCUUGUAUGGAUACCUCGGACUCUGCUGAGAAAGAGGAGCCAAAUGAGUCUCCAGUCAUAAAAUCUGAAGUUUUGGUAGGGCUUCUGGAAUUACUUUGUACAGCAUUAUCAUUCUCCUCCUGGGUGUUGGGGAUUACUUGGGGAAGUUCAGAAUAUCCCUCAUGUCUUUCUCCUUUAUCUAUACUUGUAUAAGGUGUAUCUCUUGAUGAACUGGAGCCAACUUCAUCUCCAUCAAGCUCAGGACCAGCAUCGAGAUCCUUGCACUGAAACUCUUUUGAAAUGAUAAUGGCUCUCUCCUCAUCCAAUUUAGAGGAUAAAUCUGUGUCAAAUUCUACCUCAAUACUACUCUCUCUUUGGUAUUCAAUCUGUGAAUUAUUAAUCCCUGAGCAAAAUAUAAAGUUGUUGUCCACUGUGGUAGACGUCUGCCUGAAAAUUUGGUACUCAGGAUUGGCUUCUAAUUCUGCUUUGAUGUCAGCACUGAAGUCCUCAGAGGUUCUCCUGUCUGGGCUAAUCUGAAACUCCUCUGAUGACAUUGGGUCUCGGCUCAGCCCUGGAGAUAGAAUAUUGAACUGUCCAGAACUAGUUACCCUUUCCUCACCAUUAAUUACCCCUGACUCAGUCUCUGGCUUCUCUCUUUGAAAUGUUUCUGACAUCUCUGAUUGAUUGUCAUUAUCACUGAUGGUUUUCGUUAGAACAACCUCCUCAAAACUUUCCUUAACAAUCUCCUGACUUAACGAACGAUCAGAUACAGCAGGUAUCUCCUCUAGGUACUGCUCUAGGUCUCCACUUAAAUGUGAGACCAUGCCAGAUAUGUCCUUCACCGAAGCUCUUGACGUGGAGAAUUUUUUGUCAAUUUUAACUUCUUGGAAGGCAGCUUCUUGUGACUGCUCUAGAACUGGAUCCUUAUUUGGUGAAUCUUCUAAACUGCUCCAAGGCUUUUCGAAGUCUUCUGAUUGUGUAUAAUCUGUACUUCUAACUCUACUUAACACAACCUCUUCCAACUUUUCCUCGAAAAUCCCCUGAUUUGCAGACUGAUCAUUCACAACUGGUAUUUUCUCUAAGUACUGGUCCAGGUCUCCAGUAAGAUGUGAGAGCAUGCUAGACAUGUCUUUCACUGGUGCUGAUUGUUUAUCAUCUACAAUGGUGACCUUUCUUAACAUAACCUCUUCAAAUGUCUCCUCUAUAAUGCCUUGACUUGCACAAUGAUCAGAGACAGCUGGUAUUUUCUCUAAGUAAAGGUCAAGAUUGCCAGUAAGAUGCGAGACCAUCCCAGACAAGUCUUUCACUGGGGCUGAUGAUGUGGGGGAUGUCUCUCUAGCUAUUUGAAACUCUUGGAGCAGAGGUUCCUGUAUCUGAUCUGAUGUAUUAGCCAAACUCUCAUUCGGAAAUGUGCCCUCAACCACAUCACUUGCCUUUGCCUCUGAAAGCUCACCCUGACUGUUAUCUUGUUUUCUCUCCUCUUUUGAUGAAAUAUGAACAAGCUCAUCUUUUGGAGAACUGCGACCAAACUCAUCUGUUGGUGAUGUUUCUAAACUAUCCCCUGAUCUCUCAAAUUGACAUGCAUCUGAUUCUUGAUCGUCUGUGGUGAUGACUCUACCCAACACAACUUCUUCAAAUGUCUCCUCUAUAAUGCCUUGAUUUGCAAAAUCAUCAGAGACAGCUGGUAUUUUCUCUAAGUACAGGUCAAGAUUGCCAGUAAGAUGCGAGACCAUCCCAGACAAGUCUUUCACUGGUGCUGAUGAUGUGGGGGAUGUCUCUUUAGCUAUUUGAAACUCUUGGAGCAGAGGUUCCUGUAUCUGAUCUGAUGUAUUAGCCAAACUCUCAUUCUGAAAUGUGCCCUCAACCACAUCACUUGCCAUUGCCUCUGAAAGCUCACCCUGACUGUUAUCUUGUUUUCUCUCCUCUUUUGAUGAAAUAUGAACAAGCUCAUCUUUUGGUGAACUGCGACCAAACUCAUCUGUUGGUGAUGUUUCUAAACUAUCCCCUGAUCUCUCAAAUUGACAUGCAUCUGAUUCUUGAUCGUCUCUGGUGAUGACUCUACCCAACACAACUUCUUCAAAUGUCUCCUCUAUAAUGCCUUGAUUUGCAAAAUCAUCAGAGACAGCUGGUAUUUUCUCUAAGUACAGGUCAAGAUUGCCAGUAAGAUGUGAGACCAUCCCAGACAAGUCUUUCACUGGGGCUGAUGAUGUGGGGGAUGUCUCACUAGCUAUUUUAAACUCUUCAUAUAAAGGCUCCUGUAUCUGAUCUGAGGUAUGCAUCCAUCUCUCAUUCUGUGAUGUGCCUUCAACCACAUCACUUCUCAUUGCCUCUGACACCUCAGACUGACUAUCAUCUCCUCUGACAACCCUGCUUAACACAACUUGUUCAAAGGUCUCCUGGACAAUGUCUUUAUCAGGAGAAUGAUCAGGUGCGGAUGGUGAUUUCUCUAGGUACUGAUCAAGGUCCCCAGUCAGAUGUGAGACCAUUCCAGACAUGUCUUUCACUGUUGUCUUUGACUCAGCGGGAGUGUUUCUGUCUACUCUGACCUCUUGCAGAAUUGACUUCUGCAAUUGUGGUGAACAAGGACUUAAAUCUUCCUUCUCUGAUUUCUCUGGUCUAAUAACAGGUAUGUUUUUUUCAACCUCCUCUGGAACACAAGGUUUUUCAGGUGUGCUGACACCUCUUCUUAAAAUAACCUCUUCAAAUCUUUCUUGGACAACCUCCUGAUCUAAUGAAUGAGUUGUUGUUUGUAUUUUUUCUAGAUACUGGUCCAGGUCUUGAGUAAGAUGAGAGGCCAUUCUAAAUUCUUCCACUUGUAAUUUUAGUGGACUAGAAAUAAGCGUGUCAUUUUGAAAGUCUUCUGAAAUUUCAGAUUGUAUUUCAUCUUGGCAAAUCACUUUCCUUACAAUAGAUUCUUCAAAAGUUUCCUGAACAAUCUCUUGAUCUGAAGAUUCACUAGUAACUGCUGGAAUUUCCUCCAGGUACUGCCCUAGGUCUUGCGUGAGAUGUGAAAUCAUGCUGGACAUGUUCACUGCUGUUCUUGAGUCAGGGUAAGUGUUACUGUCCACUUCAGCAUCCUGCAAAUUGAUCUUGUAAUCUGAACUUCGCGAUGUAUCUGAACUGAUGCAAGGUUUAUCAAUCUGCAGUUUUUCUGGGAUGUCAGUUUGAUUUAUGGCUGUUUUCUCAGAAAUGCUCAGAUCAUGCCCAGGAGCAACUGUGUCAAGGCUAUCCUCAAUUUUGUCAGACUGAACAAAAUCUGAACGGAUGUCUUGCUGCCCAGAAAUACAUUUUGAGGUUAUUUGGCUUGAUUGACCAUCGUCUUCAUGAUUUGCUUGAAAGAUCACUGUGGUUGUUUUCAUGGCUUUGUGCUCAAAAAGGCCAGAUUUGCUUUUGGAUGGGUCUUGGCCCUCCUGAAAUGCUUUCAUUAAUUCCCUCACAGACAUAGUUUCCUCCAGCCUCUCAGUCUGAGAUCGGGGAGAUUUGGGGGACUUUGGAGGAGGUUCUUCACUCUCUUUCAGAUAAGACUUACUUUGAAUACCAGUCACUUGUGGAGGCUUCCGCUUACGGCUUAAUCCCUCCUCUUCUUCAACUUUAUUUUGAAGUGCUUUUACCCUGUCUUUAAUGGAGCCUAUAGGUCUCUCCUCCACCAGAGGUGAGGCUGGGAAUAGGCCUGUGGUGGAUUCAGGUUCACCAAGAAUGAUGUCUCCAUCCAGAGAUUCCUCAGAGCUGAACCUCUGCAGUUCAUCUUCUGAGCUUUCACCAGCACAUUCCCUGUCCCUAAUCUUUCGCCUAGCAGGCUUUUUGACUUUAGGAAGAUGCCGCCUACCAUCUCUGGUCGCCACAAUCUCAUUGGAUUUAUCCUGUGUAACUUCAUGUUUUGAAAGAUGAUCGGACACCACAAGUGUGCUAUUGAAAUGCUGGUCAAGGUCUGCACUAAGAUGAGUAGUUGCACUAGGCAUGUCCUUCACUGAUGUUGAAGAUGUGGAGGUGUCUCUGAAAAUUCGGAUUUCCUGAGAGUCAGUGUUAGCUUUAGCCUGUGUGAUUUCGGGUUCACUGAGAACUACCCAUUCCCCCUUCUUGUUUUUUGACCAUUGGGUGUCUCUCUCCUCUCCAGUUUCUGACAAUGCUCCUCCUCGCAGUAUUUCAUCAACUUUUUCCAGAUCCUCCUUUACUUUCCCCAUGAUUUCAAAAGGUUCUUCAGGAUCUUCAUGCACUUUUCUAAUGGUCUGUGAUUGCUUUGUGUCAUCUAAAGAGUCAGGUUCUUCAGAUAGGUCAGUUGUAAGGAUAGCCGACACUUUGAUGAGGUCUUGUUUCAUGUCAGACACCUCUGAGAGAAGGUCUGGACUUGCUAAUGUGGCUGGGUCAUUCACCAUGUGUGUUUGCAGGAUGGAUAAUUCAGUUGACUCUGUUUCGUCAUCAUCUUUUUGAUGACAUAAAAAUAAAUUUAAAAAAGGAAAAUGAAGGGGGGAUAAGAAGAAUCUCUGGUCAAGGCAGGAGAAUAAGUAUUUAUCUUCAGUUGACAGGACAAGGAGGCUGGUUCACAUGAAAAUGACAGACAUUACAUUUGACUGAUGGAUCCAGGAGACUUUGAGGUUGGCACAGCAACAGCAAAGCAAAGCAAAAAGAAGAUAAACCGUAUGAAAAUAGAUGGCGAGGAAAUAACUUGCUUAAACAUGUUACAUGUUGAACUGCAUAUUCCUCAUAUAUGAAGAAGGGAGCGAGGAAACAAAAGUACAAAAGAGAAUGUAAAUAAAGUACAAACAGAGGGGUUAAACAAACAAAUAAUUAAAACAAGCAAACAAACAAUAGAAUACAAACCAAAUGGACGACAGAAAGUGGAGAUAAACCAUCUCAAGAUUGUCAAGUGACAAAUCAGAACAGCAAUUUCAUUUUUUUAGUAAAAAAUCAUAUCAGUUUGACAUUUUUAGAAAUUAUAUUUUUUUUCUGUUUGAAUCCUCAGAGGCUAUGGCAAAGAAAGUCUGAGAUAUAAAUUGUUGUGAACUCUCAUUCACUUGAGGACAAAUGUAAAUGAAAGAAAACAUUCACUGAAAUGAUAACAAUAAUGGUGAACUGAAUGAAAGAGUGAGAUAAAUACAAAGAAAACUCAAAGUUUGGGAAAAUGCUUUCUUACAGCCAGAGGCAAGACCACAGGCACACAUACUGUAGUCAGUAGAUUACAGUUACAAACAUAUAAAAUGUGAAAGUCAAGUUAUUUCCAUGCAAAACCAAAAGCUUGUGUUCAUGCAAUCCUAAACAAACCAAAAGCAAAGAACAGCAAGCAAAAUGAAAAAGCAAAACCUAAUUUUAUCUGAAAAUGAUAAAAUUGUCUACCAUUAUUUUUUAAAGUUGAUAUCCCCACAUAAUGGUACAGACUCAAAUAUUACUGUAAACCAAAUUCAGGAUGGAUAGUCAAACCGUGCUAAUACAACCCUAAUGCUAUGAAUAAUGUAGUGGUAUGAGGAAUGAUAUGGUUUAAAAAUACAACAAAAGAGAAUAGAAAAGAUGAAAUAGAUGGAGACGGCAAAGUGAUUAUCAGCCAUAGGUAGCAUAUCAGCUUGGGAUCCAUGUCCAUGCUUUACUCUAAAGGCUCUGACUUAACUACUGAAUCCAUAAAUCGGUUAAAAGGUACUGUUAUGCAGAACAACAUUUCUAAGCCUAUAUAUCUACUGUAUGAUUAAUACAGCCUUUACUAUCAAUAUGCUUUAACAAGGUAAAACUAUGCUAAUUGCUCAGGUGGUAAAGUUAGUAAAGUUAUUCCAAGAUAAAAGUGUCUUACAUUUCUCAUGUGUCUUGUCACUCUGUAGGGAAGGGACAAUUUAAAAAAUUGUUAUGAUGAUCAAACACAGUGUUACAUACACCGUACAUAUACUAUAUUAUUAACUAACAAAUUAAGAAUAUUUACUGUUGUCUCUCUUUUAUAGGCACAUAAUAAUGCAUUUAAUGAUAACUGUUAAUGAUAAUGCUGAUAAAUAGAGUAAAUAAAUUAGAUUUUUUAUUUCAUAAUAUUUGUAAAGAAAUAAAUGUACCUCCUCAUCUGCAUCCUGAUCAGAAUCAGAGUCCUAAUUAGAAGACAAGAUCAGUUAAUUUAGUGCAGGACAUGAACCAAUCUAUGUACUUAUAUAUAUAUAUACAAUUCUAAAACCAAUGAAUUCUUACCUUUGAGUAUGUGGGCAGAGUGAUGUUCAGAUUACAGAUGGCAUUGUGUGUAAGACUUCUGUACGUACGAGGCUCCUUUGUGAAAGACAAUCUUCCACAAGGUUCUUGAGCGCUAUCUCGAAUCUGUUGAUAAAUCAAGUUUAUAUGUUGUGAACAGUCAGGAAUGCAGAGGUAGUGGCAUUCUAAUAGAAACAGUCAUAUAACUUUGGAAAAAAGAAUGCUUGAAAGUCCAUCUCACCUUGAUGAACAGUGCCAAGCGGUUCUCUUUGAAGGCAAAGAAGCUGAAGACAUGAUGUUGACCACUCUUGGUAAGAGGCACCAGGUUUCCAAAACAGUCAGCAAAGAUUGGUUUCCCCUCUAAAACCUGAGAAACAUACGACUGGAAUUUACUUCACACCCACACACUCUAUACUGUGAACUUUAGUGUAGACUGGGAGAGAGGCUCAGGGCAGCAAGGGUGCCCAUCAGCAUUACCCCCGUCACACUGUCCUCCCCUCAGCUCUUUCUCUUAUGGCCUAUUCCCUUUACUUGUGCAAACCAGUUGGUGAACUAUGGUGCUUUCAUGACCCACAGUGCUAUGUUCAUGGGUUCAGUGUAAACAUUUUAGAUGUGUACCUCAACAUCUCGACUCCGUGCCACCUCUGUGAAGUUCUCCUGCUGCUCCAGUGUCUUGUCCAUUUUGUCGUCUGUCAUGCAGAAGCAUCGUAACCGGGCUUCUAUGGGGUCCAGUGUUUUGGCAAAGAUAACAAACUUGGCCAUGUAUGGAACACAGAUCAUUUCCCGGUAUAUCUGGGUAGAGAAGUUCACAGACUCCUGGAUCUGUCGGCAGUCAAUCAACCAGAAUCUGUGAGGCGGG
ensembl:lncRNA